UAUAUUGGGUUUCACAAUGUAAAGCGCCUUAAGUCACUAGAGAAAAGCGCUAUAUAAAUAUAAUUCACUUCACUUCACAUCUUGUGAGACGAUGUCGGCCAACAGGGAAGCUCGAAUGGGUGCUACAAAUUGUGAGUUCAGAUAUUUUAAUUCUUUAUAUUUUCACGUUUAAUAUGUUUUUUGCAAUUUUAAUUUUGACAGUACCACAUAAGAUAUGUUUUAAUUGCUGAUGCGGGUUUAUUUAUUUUUAAAUGAGCCAGAAAAUAACCCGUUUUGUACACUGUUGGUGGUGAUUCAUUGCCCAGUAGUAUGUAAAUGUGUUUCUGUAUAGUAUUUUUCCAACAAUGGUCAUGUGGUGACAUAAGUGAUGGUAUUUUGAGAGGACCUCACUGAAGGUGGGAAACGCACGGUCCACCACUGGUUGUACUCUACGCUACUGUGUUUUAUUUAAUGUUGCUCAUUAUGGUGGUACUUGAAAAGCCAAGUUUUUUCUGAGGUGGUACCUGGUGGAAAAAGUGUGACAAACACUGAUCUAGAUAUCCAUCCAUUUUCUACCACUUGUCCCUUUUGGGGUCGCGAGGGGUGCUGGAGCCUAUCUCAGCUGCAUUCAAACGGAAGGCGGGGUACACCCUGGACAAGUCGCCACCUCAUCGCAGGGCCAACACAGAUAGACAGACAACAUUCACACUCACAUUCACACACUAGGGACCAUUUAGUGUUGCCAAUCAACCAAUCCCCAGGUGCAUGUUUUUGGCGGUGGGAGGAAGCCGUAGUACCCGGAGGGAACCCACGCAGUCACGGGGAGAACAUGCAAACUCCACACAGAAAGAUCUCGAGCCCGGGACUGAACUCAGGACUACUCAGGACCUUCAUAUUGUGAGUUUUUGAACGAUUGGCAAAAAUCCCAAAAAAAGUGCAGUUCCCCUUCAAGGCCCUGAUACAUCAGCCCCACUUACAGCAAGGAAGCGGAAUUUCUUGAGGAGUCCGGAUACGACGAAGGAGUCGCAGAGAUACAGCAGCAAGCCACUGAACUGCAGGCCCUGAUGGUUGAGAUUUAGCUAGUGUGCCUAAUGAAGUGACCGGUGCAGGUGUUUACCAACCAACCUUGGUGGAGAUCAGAGGCAGACGCAUGCUCUCCAGGUGGCUUCCCUGUUGACUGAAGACAAAGUGCUGCUCCCUUUCUUUGGGAAUGACAAACUGGAGCUGGACCUCCUCCCCCAGCAUGGACGAGCAGAAGGUGAAGAGGGUCUUUGUGGUGCACGAACCUGUGCGGCGGGGCUGGCGUCACAGUAGUGAUGACACUGCUCGCAGUGAUGAAAGGCGUUGUGAGCAGCGUACCGAGUGAGUCGAAUUGACUUUGUCUCCUGUUUGGCUUCUACUUGGCCCUUUUCUUCUUUUU